GGGAAUUCUAUUUGCUAUGUGGUGGCCAAAAAUGAAAAAAAAAUUAAAUAAAAUAAUGACUCUUUUUUUUUUUUUUUUUUUUUUUUUUUUUUUUUUUUUUUACAGAUUUGUUGAAAGCAGCAAGUCCAAAGAUCAAAAAGUUCAUCAAACCCCAGGCAGGGAGUUCCCGUCAUGGCACAGUUUAGGAACCAUGAGGUUGCGGGUUCGGUCCCUGCCCUUGCUCAGUGGGUUAACGAUCCGGCGUUGCCGUGAGCUGUGGUGUAGGUUGCAGAUGCUGCUUGGAUCCCGCGUUGCUGUGGCUCUGGCAUAGGCUGGUGGCUAUGACUCCGAUUCAACCCCUAGCCUGGGAACCUCCAUAUGCCGCAGGAGCGGCCCAAGAAAUAGCCCCCAAAAAAAAAAAAAAAAAAAAAAAACCCAGGCAGGAUAAACAUAAACAACCAACUUGGGUAUAUCAUAAUGAUACUGACAGCCGAAGAUGAACUGAAGAAUCUUUGGAACAGCCAGAGGAGGUUGGAGAAAAAGACACAUUUCAUUCGGGUGAACAACAAGAGGAACGAAUGCAGGAGUUCCCAUCAUGGCUCAGUGGAAACGAAUCUGACUAGGAUCCAUGAGCACACGGGUUCGAUCCCUGGCCUCGCUCAGUGGGUUAAGGAUCCAGUAUUGUGACUGCUGUGGUGCUGGUUCAAUCCCUGGCCUGGGAACUUCUGAAUGCCGUGGGAGGAAAAGGAUGGUAUUGCAGAAAAUACAGACCUACGGAGGAAUGAAGACUGCCAAACAUGGACAGAUGGCAUUGAAAGCAAAGAAGGAAGCCCCUGCCCCUUCCAAAGCUGAAGCCAAAGCCAAGGCCAAGAAAGCAGUGCUGAACAAUCCACAGCCACACAAAAAACGUUUGGUUGUCACCCACCUUCCCAAGUCCCAGAACACUGCAACUCAGAAGGCAGCCCAAAUAUCCUUGGAAGAGAGCCCCUGGGAGAAGCAGUCUUGACCACUCUGCCAUUAUCAAUUUCCCUCACCACCAAGUCAGCCUCGAAGAAGACGGAAGUCAACAACGUGCCUGUAUGCAUUGUGGAGGUCAAGGCCAACAAGCACCAGGCAGAAGAGGCUGUGAAGAAGCCCCAUGACAUUGCCUGGCUAAAGUCGACGCCUUGCUCAGGCCUAAGGGGGAGAAGAGGCACAUGUUUGACUGGUUCCCAACUAUGAAGCUUUGGAUGUUGCCAACAAAGUUGGAAUCAUCUAAACUGAGUCCAGCUGGCUAAUUCUAAAUAUAAAAUUUCUCAUGGAGGAAAAAAAGGGAUACUAUGAACAAUUCACUCUGAGGACCCGGAGGAGGGACCGGGCAGCAGGGGAACAGUGACAUUUUACAUUUUGAAUUUCGUCCUGUGUGCACGAAUAGUGUGUUUAACCAAUAACUGACAAACACGUGAGCCCAGGCACACGUUGAAGGGAGGAAUCCGUGGUGGCCUAGCAGCUGGGGACUCAGCAUUGUCCCUGCUGUGGCUCCAGUUACUGCUGUGGCUCAGGUUCGGUUCCUGGCCCAGGAACUUCCCCAUCCCACAGGCGUGGCCAAAAAAAAGAAAAAGAAAAGAAUUUAUUAAAAUUGAAACGAUGUGUACUGUAUUUUCCAAAGUUUUUGUGAAAGGCUUGUAUGAUCUUCAUGAUUGGAAUAAAAAAAAGAUUUGUGAAGGAUUGGCGUGUUCGUGUGCAUGCAGUUUUUGUUGGGCUUCUUUCACAUUACAUCGAGCCCGACGUCGUCUUUGGCUAGAACUGAAUGAAAACAUCUUCUCCUUGGCUCUGAGCAGGAACCGGAACCCUAGGCUUUGCAUUCCCAGGUAAGGAGACCUCAGGCUGAGCCGGGAAUGGAAACAGUCUAGAAGCAGAAAAAGAAGAGCGCUUUUUUCAGGGAGCCGGAGGGGAUGUCCUAAAAUAGGCUGGAAUGUGGCGGCUGGAUGAAAGCAUUUGGGGUGAAUUUUAAGCCCAGCCUUCAGGCAGCUGUCAGACGAGGCAGGCGCAGAGCCAGUGGGAUCAUGUCCCUGGAAACCGGCUGGUGAAGCUGGGCAGAAGAAGCAGGCUACAAAUGUGGGGGAGGCAGAGUUGGCACCUCCAAAGAGUGGCACAGCAGCGAGUCCUGUCCCCACACUGGGUGGGGACAGGCCUGGGCUCCGGUCAAGAGCGGUCAGCCAGGUCACACUCUGGAUUUACAUCCCUCUUGUGCCAAAAGAACACAGGCAGCUCAGACCGCCUUUGCAUUUGUGUGGGGCGGAGAGUGUUGGCCACAGUCCAGGCUUUGAGGCUCGGCCCUCUGGCCUGUUUUUCUCAGUGCUGCUAUUUGCCCAGGCCAGGAAAAAUCCUGGUCUCAGAGUUCCUGUCAUGGUUCAGUGGAAACAAAUCUGACUAGUAUCCAUGAGGAUGCAAGUUUGAUCCCUGGCCUCGCUCAGUGGGUUAAAGGACCCAGUGUUGCUGUGCGCUGUGGUAUAAGGUCGCACACGUGGCUCGAAUCUGGGGUUGCUGUGGCUAUGGUGGAGGCUGAUGGCUACAGUUCUGAUUCACCCUCUAGCCUGGAAACCUCCAUGUGCUGCAGGUGCGGCCCUAAAAAAGACAAAAAAAUGAAAAGAAUCCUGGUCUCUAAAGAGUCAGGAUUAUCUGAACAAAUGAAAAC
rnacentral:lncRNA from 9 species